AGUCACACCUGUAUCCGUGCUGAGAUUUUGUCACACCAGACCACAAGGGAUGAUGGGACUCCCAAUAUAAGUGAAGCG
rfam:Schistosoma rodhaini strain Burundi genome assembly, scaffold: SROB_scaffold0022642